rnacentral:lncRNA from 1 species
CUGCAAACUUAUCUCACUAUAUGUUUGCUUGGAAAUUCAGAGGACCAAAUGUUGAACCAAACCAGGCACCCUGGGGAUUUCAGCCCCACCAGGAGAUUGCCUCGAGACCAUGGUCAACUUAUGACCUAGCUCUGCCCACGAUAGCACCAGCCAGACCACCCAAUGGAUAAGAUAUUGAAAUAAGUCAUGCAGACCCCACCAUCUCCUCCCCAGUCCCCUGCAUGCCUUUCAUGCCAAGUUCCCCUUUAAAGCUCCUGCUUUCUGCUUGUACAGGUGAAGCUGUUCCCUUACGGCAGAAGCCUGUAUCUUCUUCCCCUCAGCCAAGCUCUGGAAUGGUCACCUUCUCUCUGUCUGACCUCACUCUUGUUAACUGGACUCUGCAAGCAGUGAGCAGCAGGCCCUGCAUUCAUUCCAAGCCCCUCGCAAUCCACUGCUCCAGGGCAGGAGGACCCGAGUUCGGUUUGGUGACAGGAUGUAUGGACUCUUAGCCCCUGUCAUUUGUUGACUUUGUGUGCUGUGACUGAUGGAAUUCUAAGUUGGCACCAAGAGUCCUGCUCAUCUUCCCUCAGUCACUCAAUGAAACAUGAAUUGAGGUUGGGCCAUCAAGGAAUUCCACAGAAGUAAUGAAGUUCUCAGGUGAGUUGGUUGUAAGUUGGGGAGAUUAUCCAGCAGGCCUGACUCAGCCACAGGAGCCCUUUCAAUC